UCCUUCCCCAGAUGGCAGAGGGGGCACCUUUCACGUGAGAGAUUUAUUUCCUGCUUUCAGGGAGACAGAAAGGAGGGUGAGAGUGUCCCUCUUGCAUUGACCAUUUCUUAAGCAACUUUAAUUUAAAAUAAU